rnacentral:rRNA from 1 species
UACGGAGGGGGCUAGCGUUGUUCGGAAUUACUGGGCGUAAAGCGCACGUAGGCGGCUUUGUAAGUUAGAGGUGAAAGCCCGGGGCUCAACUCCGGAAUUGCCUUUAAGACUGCAUCGCUAGAAUUGUGGAGAGGUAAGUGGAAUUCCGAGUGUAGAGGUGAAAUUCGUAGAUAUUAGGAAGAACACCAGUGGCGAAGGCGGCUCACUGGCCCAUUACUGACGCUGAGGCACGAAAGCGUGGGGAGCAAACAGG